rnacentral:lncRNA from 1 species
AAUUAUUAUUAUUAUUAUUAUUAUUAUUAUUAUUAUUAUUAUUAUUAUUAUUAUUAUUAUUACUACCAGCACUGUUAUCUCAGCCCUCUGAGGGCACCCUCUUGAUGCAGCCCUUGUGUUUUGGGGCACCUCUUUUAUCUGUGUGAUUUGAUCUCUGUGAUUUGCUACAGCCCCUCUGACAUCUGAGCUCCACCUUUGGAGAGGAGAUAACACAAACUGGGAGAUAGAUAACACAAUCGGAGAUACAAUCGGAGAUACAAUCGGAAAUACAAUCGGAAAUACAAUCGGAAAUACAAUCGGAAAUACACACAAACUCGGAAACACACACAAAUCGAAGAGAACACACAAACUUGGAUAUACACACAAACUUUCAGUGCAAAUUUUCUUCCUGCAAAGACAUUUUCCUCUUGCUCCUCUUCCUAAAAGUGAACCUUGCACUUCUCCCCACCAGCCAAGCGCUUCAUGCCAGUUAGGAAUGGACUUUCCUUUUCCCUAGAUAAUGACCGAUCUUGCAGAUUGGAUAAUGAAAUAAGUAAUGCCAUUAGCAGCCCAUUAAUCAGCGGAGAGCAGUGAAUGGCUCUCAACUGCUCCUGAAGGACAAGGGAAGAACUCCUAGAAAUGGGGGAGCCACCCAAAAUCCAGCCCCUGCUCCCCACGUUUCUUUUGAACUUCGGGAUGGCCAAGCAUCAGUUCUUUGUCUGGGGGAUCCAGCCUGUUCAGAUCAGGUAUCUGUGCUCGGGAGAUUCCCUGCACAUCCUGGAUCCUGCUGAAUUCCCUGAGCAGGAAAUCACUUCCUUCAUCUCUGUCCCUGCCUCGUGCGGGAUGUGACAAAAGAGGGAGGAAUCCAGGAGGGUCCUUCCCUGCAGCGUCAUUAACGGUGGAGGAGCACGGGAGCAGGACCUGUCCCCAUCCCAGGACCUGUCACCAUCCCAGGACCUGUCACCAGGACCUGUCCCCAUCACAGGACCUGUCACCAUCCCAGGACCUGUCACCAUCCCAGGACCUGUCACCAGGACCUGUCCCCAUCCCAGGACCUGUCCCCAUCCAGGACCUGUCCCCAUCCCAGGACCUGUCCCCAUCCCAGGACCUGUCCCCAUCCCAGGACCUGUCACCAUCACAGGACCUGUCCCCAUCACAGGACCUGUCCCCAUCCCAGGACCUGUCACCAUCCUCAGGACCUGUCACCAUCUCAGGACCUGUCCCCAUCACAGAACCUGUCACCAUCCCAGGUCCUGUCAAACACAGGCACAGGGCAAAGGCGGGGCUGGCCCCAAACCAAAGCUUUCUCUUCUCUCCACUGGCAGAUAACCAGCUCUGCUUUAAGAGGAGAAAGCCAGCUCCAAGGAAAAAGAAAGGUUUAUUAUUAGCCCAAAGGCCACAGCUGACAUGAAAGGGAGCAGCUGCUCCGGACUUCACCUCUGGAGAAGGGGCUGGAGCAGCAGGGGAACAUCCUGAACAUCCCUGGGACACAGCACAGAGCUCACACGCCUCAUCCCACAGCGAAAAACACGCAGCAAAGGGAGCUUUCCUCCAUGUGCAGUGAAUAAUUCACCCAGGGCAAGGCAGCAGCAGCAGAACACGAGGGAAACCCCCCAAGACAAGCGGGAGCUGGGAGGUGACUCCACUGCCAGGGAGAAGCUUGGCUCAAGCCUUUCUUCCCAGGGGAGCAGGCAGCACAUCCCAGCUCCUGCCGGAUCCUCACCCUCAGGGGUUAACCCCAGGGCUGGGGACCAGCACAACCUUUGGUUGUGAAAACAUCGAGCAGAAAACCAACUCUGGCUCUGAGACAGCCGGGAGCAAUCCAGGGUGUCAGAAUCGCUCCUCUGCCUGCAGAUACAGAUACACCACACAGGGAUUUGUACACACCUGACUGUAUCUGUGUGUGUGCUGUGGGAAAUACAUACAUUCAGUAUUAAUAAAAAGUAUAAAUGUACAAACA